rnacentral:piRNA from 1 species
UACGUGAUUGCCACAGGGAAC